AAGUAAGAUUAGAAGAAAUGCCGUGGGCAAGAAAUUCGCCAUCGACGAUGGCUGAAAUUGCCUCAGAGAAGACUCGCGUUUAAGGAGUCAGCAAGUCCAAAGCUGCUCGUCUACACUUCGUAGCUAACAUGAACAGGUGGAGAUUGAGCGAUUCAAAGCCAUUUGAAUCGACGAUAAACCUGUUCAAAUUAAAAUGUUGAUGAAAAUAAAAAUCACAAGUCUACGUACAGCUAUGACCGCGAGGACCGAAACGACCCAAAAACGACACCAAACGACACAAUACGAUACAACGUCGAAAAGCAGCGUAUAUCGGCGAUGUUUCCCGACAUCGUUAAAGGUUAGAGUAGCCUGGUGGUCAAAAAAUGUGCAUGCUAGGGUUCGGAUGUGUUUCGCACAAAAAAUGGUCACGAACAAUUUUUCUGCACUUCUGCAAAGCAGAAGUGAAUUGGUCGUCGCAUUAAGGGUCGCGAUGUUUUCAAACCACACCGUUAUUCAGAUGUUUAGGUUCUGGCCACCAGGAACAUAGCUAAUGCAUGAUGCAUGUGUAAAUAAAUUUGCAUGUGAGUAAAAUCAUUUUUUAAAAAUAAUUCGGUUAUAUAGGAUUCGGUUUUGCGCUCUCGCUGUGCGCUUAGGUCUACGCGCUAGGGCUUAGGUUGAUAAGUUGUAUGUUCAUAUACGAAAAUAACGAAAUGGCUUAAAAAGCCAUGCACAUGAUCAUAAAUCACAUGCAGCCUCAAAUGGCAAACAUAAUCUCAUAGGUUCUGUACAUGCACACAUACAAAAUAUAGCCUCGAAAUGGCAAACAUAAUCCCAUAGGUUCUUACUUUGUUCCAUCUCUCGGAACACUAUUCUUGGGUAACUAAUUGCGGCUCCGAAUGUAGAUUUAUAAUUACAUAAGAAACAA